rnacentral:lncRNA from 1 species
UUGUGAGUACCAGACUCAUUUUGUUUGACAGCUUUCUUCAUCAAGUUGCCAGGAAUUUUGAAGAAGACUAGGCCCCAUUAUAUUACUGUGCUAAUGUGCUUAAAUUUUCAUUAAUAAUCUGAAGCUAAUGGUAUGUUGGGCCAGCAACUUAAUUUUACAAGAUAAAGACUUGACUGUUUCAAAACACUGAAGUUAUUCACUGGAUACGAAAAGAAUUUAAUUUUCUUAGAUCAGAAUUUACAUGAUAUUAAAUAUAUUCUGACAGCACAGUGAUAAAGAAGAUUAAAAGAAAAUAGUGUGCAGAGCUGUUCUGGCUGCAUCCAUCUUCAUAUUAGUUUGGGGAAGAUUUUUUUCCACUUAAACUUUGGGUUUAAAGAACUGCUCAUAAAAUGCAAGUAAAAGGAGAGGGGCUCAAAUCUAACAGCUCAUGUUUGUUACUAUUAACAAGCCUCUGAUGUCAUCAGUCAUAGCAAGUGGUUUGGAUUUAUUAUGAAUCAUCAGAUAAUAAUUCAGCCAUAAUAUUUUAAAAAAACAGAUUCAAUUAGUAGCUGAAAUAAUGUAAAUUAAUAGACACGGAUCAAAAAUGUUUUUGUACAGUAGAUCUUCAUACAGCAUAAUAUUGACUUAUUAAUAUGAAUAAAAUACCAUGCUAUGAUCCCCAAAAUAUAUAGCAAGUUUAGCCAAGUGCCCUUACAAACAGCAAAGAUGUCAGACACCAGUGUGAAAUAGCAUUGCCAAAUUCCUGGGUAUCUUCUAUCUUUGGCUGAUUUUUGACUACGGGCUAUUGUUGAUUGCACAGGCCAAGGACAGAUAGUAGUGAUCUGUGCUUCUUCAUCUAGCUACCCACAGCUUUCUGAACUGGAAAAUUGCUGACUGGACAGCAUCCAGCAGCCGCCCAGAGCUGUGCUGGAAUGGCCAGGACGUGGGAAGGUAUUGUCCAUGGAGCUUUCCUUCCAGUUUGACUUCCCAGGAAGUUACAUUCCAUAUUAAGUUACCUUGUACCUUACAACCAAGUUGAGGUGUUGAGGUCACUGUUGUUUCCUGCAUACAGACCCUCACAAAAAGCUCUCUCAGGACUUGCUCUUGUGAGGGUUCAGAAUCAUUCAGUAAAUGCA